rnacentral:rRNA from 1 species
UUGAUUCUGCCAGUAGUCAUACGCUCGUCUCAAAGAUUAAGCCAUGCAUGUCUAAGUAUAAAUCUUUUACUUUGAAACUGCGAACGGCUCAUUAUAUCAGUUAUAAUUUAUUUGAUAGUCCCUUACUACUUGGAUAACCGUAGUAAUUCUAGAGCUAAUACAUGCAUCAAUACCCAACCGUUCGCGGACGGGUAGUAUUUAUUAGAUAGAAACCAACCCUCUUCGGAGGCGUCCAGGUGAUUCAUGAUAACUCUGCGAAUCGCAUGGCCUUGUGCCGGCGAUGAAUCAUUCAAAUUUCUGCCCUAUCA